rnacentral:lncRNA from 1 species
GCACAUAUUUAAUGGCACACUUGGUUUGUCUCUGAUAUGCCCAGUUUUUGUCCGAAUGGAGGCAGGGCUUUCUUUCCUGUAUGCUUCCCUUUCUGAAAAGCUAUCUACUUUCAAUAGCAUUCCAUCUCUAAUGGCAUGGCAUGUCCCCCUGUGCUUUCCACUCUCUUGUUGUUCUGCAUUGUAUCUGCUUGUGCCCUUGAGCUCUCAACCCCCCUGAGCAAGGAAUUCCAUUCUCUGCCUGCCUCUAUUUAUUGCAAGGCACUCUGCACAUUGUUCUGGAACUCUAUAAAUGACAAAAAUGCACAUAAGAAACUCAAGAGAUGGGAGGAGAUCAUCCCAGGAAAGAUGCUGGAGCGCAUGCUGACACCUCUGCGUAACAUCAGCCUCCAGAAUGAAGGCACAUGAUGCAGUUCUGCUGCAGAAGAAGCUAAUAAGGUUUGUUAAAUGAAGAAAAGAAGAAGAGUUUGGAUUUGAUAUCCCGCUUUAUCACUACCUGAAGGAGUCUCAAAGCGGCUAACAUUCUCCUUCCCCUUCCUCCCCCACAACAAACACUCUGUGAGGUGAGUGAGGCUGAGAGACUUCAGAGAAGUGUGACUGGCCCAAGGUCACCCAGCAGCUGCAUGUGGAGGAGCGGGGAACCAAACCCGGUUCACCAGAUUACGAGUCCACCACUCUGAACCACUACACCACACUGGCUCUUGCCAGUGGUACCUCGGGUUAAGAAAUUAAUUCGUUCUGGAGGUCCGUUCUUAACCUGAAACUGUUCUUAACCUGAGGUACCACUUUAGCUAGUGGGGCCUCCUGCUGCCGCCGUGCGAUUUCUGUCCUGAAGCAAAAUUCUUAACCCGAGGUACUAUUUCUGGGUUAGCGAAGUCUGCAACCUGAAGCAUCUGUAACCUGAAGCAUCUGUAACCCAAGGUAACCCUGUAUAUGCAAGCCACUCUGCAAGCUGAGUGUAAUAUUUCUUUGGUUAAAAAAAAUAAAAUCCUAUUUUUUGUAUAUGCCGUUGCAUUCCAGCUCUUUGUUUAUUUGUACGUCAUUACCUUGGGUGUUUGUGUAACAAAAG